rnacentral:rRNA from 1 species
UGCCAGCCGCCGCGGUAAGACAGAGGUGGCGAACGUUACCCGGAUUUACUGGGCGUAAAGGGCGUCUAGGCGGCUUAGCAAGUCUUCUGUGAAAGCCCCCUGCUUAACGGGGGGAGGCCAGUGGAUACUACUAAGCUAGAGGAUCGGAGGGGAAAGCGGUACUACUGGAGGAGCGGUGAAAUGCGUAGAGACCAGUAGGAACCUCGAUAGCGAAGGCAGCUUUCUGGCCGAUUUCUGACGCUGAAGCGCGAAAGCGUGGGGAGCAAACCGGAUUAGAUA